AUGAAGGUGCAUAAAAACACGUCUCGGUUGGUAGUCCGAGAGCGCAAACGCGUCAGUAACCUUCCCUCCAGGUCGUCCAUUGCAAUCUUUGAAAAG
rnacentral:ncRNA from 1 species